rnacentral:rRNA from 1 species
UACGGAGGGUGCAAGCGUUAUCCGGAUUCACUGGGUUUAAAGGGUGCGUAGGCGGACAGGUAAGUCAGUGGUGAAAUCUCUGGGCUUAACUCAGAAACUGCCGUUGAUACUAUUUGUCUUGAAUAUUCUGGAGGUAAGCGGAAUAUGUCAUGUAGCGGUGAAAUGCUUAGAUAUGACAUAGAACACCGAUAGCGAAGGCAGCUUACUAAAGAAUGAUUGACGCUGAGGCACGAAAGCGUGGGGAGCAAACAGG